GUUCAGGAAAAGGGCAAACAACAUCCGUUAAUAGACACUAUCAUAUCCAAAAGCCAAUAUAAUAAGAACAGUUAAGCGCUAAUGAGAUUAACACAUUUUUACGUUAGCAUGAAAUCAUUCAAACAAGGAUAUAAAUUGCCACAGAUAAGCUCUAAAGAGAUUAAAACUUUCUAUGUUACUGUUAGCAUGGAAUUAUUCAAAUAAGAUUAUAUAAAUUGAUCCCUUUUAGUGAUCCACUAAUGUUCUCCGGGCCAUCACUCUACCCGUACUGAAGAAUAUAACCGAUCAAGAUGAAUUCAUGGUUCACCGGAAAUUACCUUUCUUAAAUUGGAGGCUUGUU
rnacentral:misc_RNA from 1 species